UGUCUCAUGGUGUAAUGGUAGCACUCCUGAUUUUGGUUCAGUCAGUCCAGGUUCGAAUCCUAGUGAGACAA
rnacentral:tRNA from 1 species